GAAGGGGCCCUAAUUCAACAUGACCGGCGUCCUGACAGGGAGAAAAAAGGAAGAACACCAUGUAACAAGAGACAGAUACUAGAGUGACGUCACCGCAAGCCCAGAAACACCGAGAAUUGUUGGGAACCACCAGAAGCUGGAAGAAGCAAGGAACACACUCUCCCUCAGAACCUGCAGAAGGAACCAGCCCUGCCUACACACCUUGAUUUUGGACUUACAGCCUCCAGAAGUGUGAGUGAAUAAAUUUUCUGUUAUUUUAAGCCACCCAGUUUGUAAUAGUUUGUUAUAGCAGCCCUAGGAAACAAGGACAGGUUUACUUGCCUUGGCUGGGAUGGCUGGAACAGCUGGGGACUGACCAGUCCGCCUCCCUCCACCCCUUCCCCCUCCCAUCUCUCUGGGUCUCUCCAACCAUGUGGUCUCUCCACCACAGUAGCUGGGCCCCUUUAUGUGGAGGCUCCAUGUUGCAAGAGUGAAAGUAGAAGCUACUAGACAUCUUAUGGAUCAGGCCCAGAGCUAUCACCAGCUUACCUCUGCCAUGUUCUGUUGGUUAAGGCAAAUUGCAGAGCCUGCUCAGAUUCGGGAGGAGGAAACAGACUCCACGUGUUGAUGGAGGAGUGAUAGAGGCAUGGAAGGCAUGGAAGGACUUGGUGUCCAUCUUUGGAAACAGUCUCAAACAAGGAUUGUGUCCACCUGAGUUUGAGUAAAUGCAGAAAGAAUUGGCUUAUGGCGUUGAGGAGAGCCUAAAGCACAGAACCAUUGAGGGUUUUGCUGAAUGCAAUGGAACCACCGUCUCUGGAACGCCAGGGGCCAGUCGCCAUAGAAGCAGUCAACCUGAACCGUUGCAGGGUGUUUAUCUUCAGGAAUCUUGAGGCCCACCCCCAGGAGCCCUGGGCUUCCAGGAGGAUCACUGCCCCUCUGACAAGCAUGGCCUCAUCACGCUCAGUGACUCAUGAACCGGGCGCCAAUUAGCACACGGAUAUUAUGAAGAAGAAAGGAAAAUGAACUGAAUAAAACAGACAACAGAAUGGGUGGGGCUUGCCCU
rnacentral:lncRNA from 1 species